UGGGGAAUAUUGCACAAUGGGGGAAACCCUGAUGCAGCGACGCCGCGUGAGCGAAGAAGGCUUUCGAGUCGUAAAGCUCUGUCCUAUGAGAAGAUAAUGACGGUAUCAUAGGAGGAAGCCCUGGCUAAAUACGUGCCAGCAGCCGCGGUAAUACGUAUGGGGCGAGCGUUGUCCGGAAUUAUUGGGCGUAAAGGGUACGUAGGCGGUUUUUUAAGUCAGGUGUCAAAGCGUGGAGCUUAACUCCAUUAAGCACUUGAAACUGAAAGACUUGAGGGAAGGAGAGGAAAGUGGAAUUCCUAGGGUAGCGGUGAAAAGCGUAGAAAUUAGGAGGAAUACCGGGGGGGAAGGCGACUUUCUGGACUUUUACAGACGCUCAGGUACGAAAGCGGGGGGAGCAAACAGG
rnacentral:rRNA from 1 species